rfam:Salmo salar isolate Sally breed double haploid chromosome ssa10, whole genome shotgun sequence.
AUCUACACAAACUGUAAGUCGCUCUGGAUAAAAGUGUCUGCUAAAUGACUAAAA